GGACCAGACUCCUACGGGAGGCAGCAGUGGGGGAUAUUGCACAAUGGGGGGAACCCUGAUGCAGCGACGCCGCGUGGGUGAAGAAGCGCCUCGGCGCGUAAAGCCCUGUCAGCAGGGAAGAAAAUGACGGUACCUGAAGAAGAAGUCCCGGCUAACUACGUGCCAGCAGCCGCGGUAAUACGUAGGGGGCAAGCGUUAUCCGGAUUUACUGGGUGUAAAGGGGGCGCAGACGGCGAUGCAAGCCAGGAGUGAAAGUCCGGGGCCCAACCCCGGGACUGCUCUUGGAACUGCGUGGCUGGAGUGCAGGAGGGGCAGGCGGAAUUCCUGGUGUAGCGGUGAAAUGCGUAGAUAUCAGGAGGAACACCGGUGGCGAAGGCGGCCUGCUGGACUGCAACUGACGUUGAGGCCCGAAAGCGUGGGGAGCAACCAGGAUUAGAUACCCGCGUACU
rnacentral:rRNA from 1 species